rnacentral:rRNA from 1 species
UUCCCUUCGGGGACAUUGGUGACAGGUGGUGCAUGGUUGUCGUCAGCUCGUGUCGUGAGAUGUUGGGUUAAGUCCCGCAACGAGCGCAACCCUUGUCUUUAGUUGCCAUCAUUAAGUUGGGCACUCUAGAGAGACUGCCAGGGAUAACCUGGAGGAAGGUGGGGAUGACGUCAAAUCAUCAUGCCCCUUAUGCUUAGGGCUACACACGUGCUACAAUGGGUAGUACAGAGGGUUGCCAAGCCGUAAGGUGGAGCUAAUCCCUUAAAGCUACUCUCAGUUCGGAUUGUAGGCUGAAACUCGCCUACAUGAAGCUGGAGUUACUAGUAAUCGCAGAUCAGAAUGCUGCGGUGAAUGCGUUCCCGGGUCUUGUACACACCGCCCGUCACACCACGGGAGUUGGAGACGCCCGAAGCCGAUUAUCUAACCUUUUGGAAGAAGUCGUCGAAGGUGGAAUCAAGAACUGGGGUGAAGUCGUAACAAGGUAGCCGUAUCGGAAGGUGCGGCUGGAUCACCUCCUUUCUAAGGA